rnacentral:rRNA from 1 species
UAGGGAAUCUUCGGCAAUGGACGAAAGUCUGACCGAGCAACGCCGCGUGAGUGAAGAAGGUUUUCGGAUCGUAAAACUCUGUUGUUAGAGAAGAACAAGGACGUUAGUAACUGAACGUCCCCUGACGGUAUCUAACCAGAAAGCCACGGCUAACUACGUGCCAGCAGCCGCGGUAAUACGUAGGUGGCAAGCGUUGUCCGGAUUUAUUGGGCGUAAAGCGAGCGCAGGCGGUUUCUUAAGUCUGAUGUGAAAGCCCCCGGCUCAACCGGGGAGGGUCAUUGGAAACUGGGAGACUUGAGUGCAGAAGAGGAGAGUGGAAUUCCAUGUGUAGCGUUGAAAUGCGUAGAUAUAUGGAGGAACACCAGUGGCGAAGGCGGCUCUCUGGUCUGUAACUGACGCUGGGGCUCGAAAGCGUGGGAAGCAAACAGG